rnacentral:lncRNA from 1 species
AGUCGGGCCCGGAGCCCGGAAGGAGUGCCCCGCGGAGAGUCGAGCUUCCUUCCCCGGGGCUGGGGGUUCCGCGGAGCUCGCUCUGGGCUGUGGCGUUGCUCGCCCGCGAGCUCCUGGGGAGUUCGGGGGAGCUGCUGGGCUGGUGCCUGGAGCGGGGGCCGCCUCCAAGUAUUGUCUUUCGAAUUAAGUUACUGUCGUCUGUGUUGUCAGGCAACAACUGACCUUAAAUAAAAAUGAAAACCAGAAGUAGGCUACACAUGCAAUAGGCUACACAUGCAAUAAUGGAUACUUAAGGAAUGGGAGUGGCUGCUGGUGACUGGAGCAGAGAGGGUGUGGUUUCCCCAUGUUUCGGGGCCGGGGGGAAGGAGUAAAGUCUGUGUUCAGAGCCCAGACGCCAUGUCGGUCAUCACAUCACCGGGAGAACUCGUGGAGCCUGAGGAAAGGCUACGGGGUGCCAGAGUCUGAAGGGGCGGAAGAUUGCAUUCCUAUCACGUUCGCCGUGGCGCACAGGGGCUCCGCUGGGGCCGCCGCUCCCGCAGGAGAAGUGGGCCUGAGACGGUGCGGCGUCGACCAUAGCCGGCCCAGCAGAAGCCGGGGAAGGCCACAAGUGUAACUGGGUCCGAGUACUGUGAAGAAGGCGCCUCCCAUGGAGAAAGCUACCGGGUAGUUUAACAAGGUGGAAAAGCGUUGGCCUGGGGAGGAGGAAAGGAUGCUCAGAAAGUUGCCUCAAAAGGACGCAGAAGUGGAGGUGAAUCUUCUGUUUCAGAGGCAUUUUUUUGUGCCUCUGUGAGAAUGCAUUGCUUCCUGGUUGAUCCAUCUUCAGGUUUUCUCUCCGUCCUAGUCCCUGUUCUGCCACCAUUCUGUGUUUGAAUCUGGUACCUAAAGCCGCAGAUACUUGGUUCAUAGUAGAUGUCCACUCUGCAGUGGCUGAAAACACGGAAGAAAAACCAUCUUUGCCUGGGAAGGACAUUAUUGCUAGUGCCAUUACUGUCAACAGUUGGAACAAGAUAAACGGCAUGCCCAAUCUAGUUGAGGAUUUUGGACACCGGGCCUCCCACUGGGACUCCGCCGAGAAACCAGGUCUGCCAUUGCCACCUCCGCCGGGCCUUGCUGUCUUAGCACAACGGAGUCUCGCUGUCACCCAGGCUGGAGUGCCAUUGGCGUGCUCUCGGCUCACUGCAAACUUCGCCUCCUGAGUUCAAGAGAUUCUCCUGCCUCAGCCUCCCAAGUAGCUGGGAUUACAGCGCGCUCAGGAAUAUAUGUUGAAACACAGAGAAGGAGGAGACUGACUUCGAGGAGAUGCACAGGAAGAUGGCCAUGUGGAGACAGAGGCAGACAUUGGAGUGAUGCUCAGAAGAAAAGGCACUCUAGGAGCCUGCAGAAGCCUCAGAGGUUCUGAAGAGCCAUGGC